rnacentral:misc_RNA from 1 species
AAGUCGUAACAAGGUCUCCGUAGGUGAACCUGCGGAGGGAUCAUUACUGAGUGAGGGCCCUCGGGCUCGACCUCCCACCCUUUGUGAACACAACUUGUUGCUUCGGGGGCGACCCUGCCGUUCGCGCGGCGAGCGCCCCCGGAGGCCUUCAAACACUGCAUCAUUGCGUCGGAGUUUAAGCAAAUUAAACAAAA